GAUGAACGCUGGCGGCGUGCCUAAUACAUGCAAGUCGAGCGAACAGACGAGGAGCUUGCUCCUCUGACGUUAGCGGCGGACGGGUGAGUAACACGUGGAUAACCUACCUAUAAGACUGGGAUAACUUCGGGAAACCGGAGCUAAUACCGGAUAAUAUAUUGAACCGCAUGGUUCAAUAGUGAAAGACGGUUUUGCUGUCACUUAUAGAUGGAUCCGCGCCGCAUUAGCUAGUUGGUAAGGUAACGGCUUACCAAGGCAACGUUGCGUAGCCGACCUGAGAGGGUGAGCGCAGACACAAGAACUACGAUGCGACUCAGACUACAACGGGAAGCAGCAGUAGGGAAUCCUCAGCCAUGAGCGGAAUGAUUAAGCAGCAACGCCGCGUGAGCGAUGAAGGUCCGCGCAUCGUGAACCGCUGUUAUUAGGAAGGAUCAAAUGUGUAAGGAACUAUGACAGUAUUGAAGUUACCUAAUAAGAAAGCCACGGCUAACUACGUG
rnacentral:rRNA from 1 species